rnacentral:rRNA from 1 species
AUUGAACGCUGGCGGCAGGCCUAACACAUGCAAGUCGAACGAGUGGCGGACGGGUGAGUAAUGUCUGGGAAACUGCCCGAUGGAGGGGGAUAACUACUGGAAACGGUAGCUAAUACCGCAUACCAUCGGAUGUGCCCAGAUGGGAUUAGCUAGUAGGUGGGGUAAUGGCUCACCGAGGCGACGAUCCCUAGCUGGUCUGAGAGGAUGACCAGCAACACUGGAACUGUGAAACGGUCCAGACUCCUACGGGAGGAAGCAGUGGGAAAUAUUGCACAAUGAGAGCAAGCCUGAUGCAGCCAUGCCGCGUGUAUGAAGAAGGCCUUCGGGUUGUAAAGUACUUUCAGCGAGGAGGCGUUACUCGAAGAAGAAGCACCGGCUAACUCCGUGCCAGCAGCCGCGGUAAUUC